rnacentral:tRNA from 1 species
GCGCGCAUGACCAGAGCGGCUAUGGGCCGGCCUCUUAAGCCGGACGACGCAGGUUCGAAUCCUGCUGCGCGC